AAGGAUUCAAUGAAUAAUUUAUUCCGUUGUAAAAGUCUGAAAUGUAGCUUACAAUGAAUGCAGCAACUGAAAUUUUACAGAAUUUAUUAAAGAGAAACUUAUGAGAAAUUACACGGCGAUCUUCCAAAUUGCUCUGGCUACAGAUAAAAAGAACCAGUGUGUUAAUAUCUCAGUAAGUAUAGUAAUUAAUACUGUAGUACUUUUAUUUCAAGAACUUUUAUCUUUAUCAAAUUAACAUACUUCUAAAUAAAUAAUAAAGCUUUAAACAAGGUGUCAAAUAAAAGGAAUAGUUAGUAAAACCAAGUGUUUAUUGUAAGGGAAAUGAGACUGCAUGUAGUAGUAGUAUCUCGGUUACCUGAAUUCUGAUUGUCACACCUCCUUUUCACUAUCCCGAAAAGGCGUAUAAGGGAGUUUUUUCAAUUUAAGUAAUAUUAUUUAAAAUAGAAUUAUUUUAUUUAAUUUCUCAGAGUCGCCACUUGGAAUAGUUUAAUUGGUGUUCCAAGUCACCGGUUUACUUUAAAUCCCAAAUCGAGAAAAUUCGACUUUCCUUUUGAAGUCUGCGAACCAGAAAUUCUAAGUAAGGAAUUCUGUUAACCGGGGAGAAGGUGUUAGGCAUUCACGGAUUCCGUAGUUCUAGUAUGGUCGCUUAAACUAUUAUAAUUGGCCUAUUAUCUGAUUUUAAUACAUCUUUUAACCUAUGAUAUAUUUUAACUUUGUUAAACCGCUUUUAAUUAUUUUUAGGAAGAUUCAACGUUAUUUAAAAUAUACCUUGAACCGCGCCACAUGAAAUGCACCCGCGAUCCACGACACAUUUUAUCUAACGUUGUUGAGAAUUGGAGUUGAGUCACAUGAAAUGCACACCCGAAUUUAAGGAAAUUAAUUUAAAAUAGCGCGCCUAAAGCAACUACGAUUGAUAAUUCUUACCAUAUUUGGGGUUCAUUGUUAGGCCAAAAGAUUAUAGAUACAGAAGUUGUGGAAGGAGUGAACUAACUUAUUAAAUGGAAGAUAAGCCAAAAAUAUUAUUUAAAGAAAAGGUUUACUGGACUUGAAUCAAAUUCACAAAUAGAAUCAAGUAGACCAAUCUAAUUUCAUUUUCUAAGUUCUAUAGGACUAAACAUAGGACCAAUUUUCAAAUGAGUAAAUUAACAAAUGCUCCAAAACAACAAAUCAAGCAAACGUCAGAAAACAAUUACGUAAUUGGUUUAUCCCAUUUUUUUAUUACAUAAAAUCACAAUCUAUUUAAUGGAACAAUUUUAUCUUCUACACCCAUACAAUUAUAAUCCAAACAAAUCACAAAAAUAGGAUAGAGCCAACGUAUUGAAAUUUUCAAACAAAGAAAACAGUGCACAUUCAACAAAAAUACUAACACAACAAUUAAUAGGACAAAACAGCAAAAAUCAGAAGACAACUGACAAUAAAAAUUUAUUAGGAGCGAAACAGUAAAAAAGAAUAAACCUCAACUGAAACAACGAUUUUUCAUUGAACCAAGCCUCCGGCAAAACUCAUACAGUGAUCGAUUUUGACUCACACUAGAGAUCCGACGACAGAGCUUAGGUCUAAAAUCGAUUUAAGACUAGAAUUGCAAACGAAAAAACCUUGUUUGGACCUCACACAUAAGCUGUUCGGCGACCUCGACUCAACUCUCGAUGCUACUGCUUUUGUGCGAAAAGGACUGCAUUUUUUCUGCUUUUUUUAGUGGUUUUGGGUGAAGUUAAGGACUGCUUUGAGGAUGGAUUUGAGCAGAUUUUCAGUUGCUAUUUCAGGUGUUUUGGAGUUAGUGUUCAUUAGUUUUUGGUGGAAUUUGAAGGUUGCUUCAAUAGUGGAGGAAGGCUGAGUGCUUUUGGAGCUUUUACAUGGUGAAAAUGGAGGUUUUUCGUUGGAUUUUUGGAUGAACAGGGAAGAAGGAAUGUUUGCUGAAGCGUUCUGUUCUUAAGGAAGAAGAAGAUGGGAGUCAGACUCCCAAUCCUCAACUGCGGCUGUCAGCUUUUGGUCGCCCUUUCCUUUCUUUUCGUUAACUCCCUCUUUUGGAUUUUGUUUUUUUAAUCCAAUCUUCUGGAAAACGGCGGAUUCAAUAUGAUUUUUUUAGUUGUAGGUCUAUGUAGGGAUUA
rnacentral:lncRNA from 1 species